CGGACGAGGUCGAGUAAUGCCGUAGGAAUCCUUAGACCUGGUAUUGGCGGGAUAACGUUUCGAAAGGAACGCUUAUACCGCAUACGUCCUACGGGAGAAAGUGGGGGAUCUUCAGACCUCACGCUAUCAGAUGAGCCUAGGUCGAAUUAGCUAGUUGGUGGGGUAAUGGCCCACCAAGGCCACGAUCCGUAACUGGUCUGAGAGGAUGAUCAUUCUCACUGGAACUGAGACACGGUCCAGACUCCUACGGCAGGCAGCAGUGGGGAAUAUUGAACAAUGGGCGAAAGCCUGAUCCAGCCAUGCCGCGUGUGUGAAGAAGGUCUUCGGAUUGUAAAGCACUUUAACUUGGGAGGAAGGGCAAUAAGUUAAUACCUUGCUGUUUUGACGUUACCAGCACAUCGAAUAAGCACUCUAAGGCUAACUGCCGUGCCAGCAGCCGCGGUAAUACGAAGGGUGCAAGCGUUAAUCGGAAUUACUGGGCGUAAAGCGCGCGUAGGUGGUUCAGCAAGUUGGAUGUGAAAGCCCCGGGCUCAACCUGGGAAUUGCAUCCGAAACUACUGAUCUAGAGUACGGUAGAGGGUGAUGGAAUUUCCUGUGUAGCGGUGAAAUGCGUAUAUAUAGGAAGGAACACCAGUGGCGAAGGCGACCACCUGGAC
rnacentral:rRNA from 1 species